rnacentral:rRNA from 1 species
GACGAACGCUGGCGGCGUGCUUAACACAUGCAAGUCGAACGAAGAGCGAUGGAAGCUUGCUUCUAUCAAUCUUAGUGGCGAACGGGUGAGUAACGCGUAAUCAACCUGCCCUUCAGAGGGGGACAACAGUUGGAAACGACUGCUAAUACCGCAUACGAUCUAAACUCGGCAUCGAGGAUAGAUGAAAGGUGGCCUCUACAUGUAAGCUAUCACUGAAGGAGGGGAUUGCGUCUGAUUAGCUAGUUGGAGGGGUAACGGCCCACCAAGGCGAUGAUCAGUAGCCGGUCUGAGAGGAUGAACGGCCACAUUGGGACUGAGACACGGCCCAGACUCCUACGGGAGGCAGCAGUGGGGAAUCUUCCGCAAUGGACGAAAGUCUGACGGAGCAACGCCGCGUGAGUGAUGACGGCCUUCGGGUUGUAAAGCUCUGUUAAUCGGGACGAAAGGCCUUCUUGCGAAUAGUGAGAAGGAUAGA